UCAAUUGUUGAAGCUUCGGUGGAUUCAAUUGAAGGACAGCGGCAAACGGCGUAGUUAUGCGUAGGUACGUACCCUCAGGUCGGGGAUAGCCACGGGAAACUGUGGGUAAUACCCGAUGAUCUCUGCGGAGCAAAGGUGUGAUUCCGCCUGAGGAGCGGCUUACGUGAUAUUAGCUUGAUGGUGGGGUAAUGGCCUACCAUGGCGACGAUGUCCAGGGGGUGUGAGAGCAUGGCCCCCACGACCGGAACUGAGAUACUGUCCGGACACCUACGGGUGGCUGCAGUCGAGAAUCUUCCGCGAUGGGCGAAAGCCUGACGGAGCGACGCCGCGUGCGGGAUGAAGGCCCUUGGGUUGUAAACCGCUGUCAGAGGGGAUGAAAUCAUGGUUGGCUAUCCUUCCAUGUUGACAGAGCCUCAAAGGAAGCACGGGCUAAGUACGUGCCAGCAGCCGCGGCAACACGUACUGUGCGAACGUUAUUCGGAAUCACUGGGCUUAAAGGGUGCGUAGGCGGUUUAUCAAGUCAGAUGUGAAAUGCCUGAGCUCAACUGAGGCACUGCGUUUGAAACUGAUAGACUUGAGUAUUCCAGGGGUAUGCGGAACUGCCAGUGGAGCGGUGAAAUGCGUUGAUAUUGGCAGGAACACCAGUGGCGAAGGCGGCAUACUGGGGGAUUACUGACGCUGAGGCACGAAAGCCAGGGUAGCGAACGGGAUUAGAUACCCCGGUAGUCCUGGCUGUAAACGAUGAGUACUGGGUGGGAGAAAGCUUGCUUUUUCCUGCCGUAGCGAAAGCAUUAAGUACUCCGCCUGGGGGAGUAUGGUCGCAAGGCUGAAACUCAAAGGAAUUGACGGGGGCUCACACAAGCGGUGGAAGGAUGUGGCUUAAUUCGAGGCAACGCGAAGAACCUUAUCCUGGACUUGACAUUGUUUGGAUGGCUCGCCUGAAAAGGGAUGAGUCUGCCUUUCGGGUGAAACUUACACAGGUGCUGGCAUGGCUGUCGUCAGCUCGUGUCGUGAGACGUCGCCGUUAAGUCGCUUAACGAGCGCAACCCUUGGUCCUUAGUUG
rnacentral:rRNA from 1 species